rnacentral:lncRNA from 1 species
UAUGAAUCGCUUGGUGUUGAUGCAUCAGGCAUAUAGUCGGUGUCCGAAUGACAGAGGCACGAUACUACAGACGUGGAGAGAAGACGGUACAGUACAGCCCGCGGCCAGCCGGGACCAGGGCGCGCGCUCGCCCUCUGGCGGAGCGUGCCGCCGUGGGCGUGGACUCCGUGACACCGUCGUGCGAGCCCAGGUGCUGUCUCAGUCACUUAGCAAGCAGUUUUAAAGGACGCUGCUGGCGGCGUCCGCUUGGAUCUUUGGGAAGAAAGCAGAGGGAUCAUCUUCACCUUUUCCAGAGUAAUAAGUCAUUGCCGGUGCUGGCCUUUCACAGUAAGGUAGCCUCGUACUGUCCCUUCUGCUUUCAUCUGCUACUGUGAAUGUCUGGCGUGAGGCCUGUGUUCAGUAGCAGACUGGGAACAUUCUGAAUUAAUUUGAAUUACCGGGAAUGUGAAUAUCACACUUUCUGGGGGGGUGUUUAAUGUUCUGUAUUACUGAUCUGCUAUUGGGGGGGGUGGAAAUGGCAACAUUUUUAUAUUCAUUUACCCUACCUUUCCUUCUUACUGGCCGCUUCAUAAAACAUGUUGCUUUUUGCAGAAAUCGAGACGCAGGGUUUUUGUUUGACUUGGAUACACCAUGAGCGGCGAAGCAGGAGAAUCCUGUAAAAGCAAUUCCUCCCAGCUCCACCCCAGCGAAGCAGAAGAAAGAGUUCUCUCAGAUAUGGAUAUAAGUGCUGCUCAGCACAUUGGGCGACAGCUAGCAGUCAUCGGCGACGAGCUCAAUCAGCGUUAUAGUGGGCACUUCCUAAGUGUUCUGUUGCACCCCACGCCCACAGCCGUGCAUGUUGGACGGCCUUCGAGAAGAUCGCCUUUUGGCUUCCAUGUGGGCGCAAGAUCCGUGUUCGGAAUGAUCAAAAGGUGCCUGAUUUCGGGAGCAGAGGCUCCAGCAGCCCAGAGACGCAGCCGAUGGAGGAGCUGGGUCUCCCACUUCCACCCCAGCCACGCCUGCAGCGGCUGGGCCGCGGGGGCGCUCGCCGUGAUCCUGCUGGCCGCGGCCGUCUGCAUUGAGCUCUAG